rnacentral:lncRNA from 1 species
CUAUGUGCAGUUGUAGCACAAUCAGGUCAGGGUGCUAGAAUAGUAAAAAGCUCAAGUGAUGGAAAAAAGAUGACACAUGGUGAUUGGAUGAGCUUCGCCUGCAUGCCCCUGCUGCAUCCCCAUGUCUCCAAGUGCAGGUAUUGGCUUCAUGCAGUUCUAUUUUUGCAUACAUGUACAUAAUGGACCACAACUUUGUCUAUUAGGAUGAAUUCUUGUACCUAAUUUACUACUGUUAGCUGCAUGGAUAAUGUGCUCAUAUAGUUUUGGAGAUCAUGGGGAUCAUAUGAUUACUUGUAGGGGACUAAGCGCAGAGAGGAUUGUCGAUCCUUGCCUGCAUAUACAUGCACCAUGGAUGUGUGCCAUAUGGCAUGAUGCACAACAUGCCAUUGAGACCACCGGAUCGUUGCUCAGUACAUCUGGUACAUUCACACGAACCUUCCUCCACUGUAGUGUCACCGCUGUUUGUCUCGUCUCUUGACUACGACACUUUGUACCACAAGAGCACAUCAGUAGCUUCAGGAUAGGGGGCAAUCCUAUUAUCCUUUCAUGAGUGAUGACCCACUACUUUCACCUUUUUGAAACCAAACAUUACACAAAUUGAUCCUGUGGCAUGUAAUAUUGUUAUCUUGUAUUAACAAAUCUAGCGUCAGCUCUGAUGAUACAAACAAAAUAAACAUAGAUGCUGAUAAGCUUAAUCAAUUUAACAGUUUAUCAUGGAUUAUAAAGCUUUCCUUUCCUUCAUCUUUUAUACUUUCUUUGGUUUGUCAUGGAUUAGUUGCAAAAACUUGUGAAAUACAAUUCAUUGUUUGUCUUUAUAGUUGGCAUGUGAUAUAUUUUCUCAAGUUCAUGACCGUGAUGCGCACAACUAACAUAUGAUUCACAUAUUGUUCCCUUUGGUCUUUACAUUAGCAAAGUUUCUCCCUGGCUUUCUUUAAAGUUCUAUUUUGGGCAUCCAUGCAUUUUCUCUUUGGUCAGUUUAAUCAAUUUACCCUUUUUCUUGAAACAGAUAAAUGUUGUACCUCUUGAACAUGUCAUCAUAGGAGUUCUCUUCUUUAUUGUAUUUAUGUUUAUUUUUGAAGAAAUUUCGUUCAGUGGUUAUGUUGUAUCUUAAUUAUGCUAUAAUAUUUGAAAGCACCAAAUAGUAUGAUGUAAUCCUCUAAGCAUGGUUGACAUACUUGCUUUGUCAUAUUUACUAUCAUAAAUUUCUUUCAAUGGGAUAUCUGGAAAUACUGUUUUCUAUGUGUUCCCAUUGGUGCCUGAAUAAUUUGUCACUCUUUCAAUGGGAUAUAUUUGUUGCUAAUGGUCAUUUAUAAAGAAUUAUAAAGCAUCCAUCUGU